AUAAAGUUUAGCCUGCCCACUGAAUAAUUUAUUUAAAGGGCCGCAGUAUUUUGACUGUGCAAAGGUAGCAUAAUCAUUAGUCUUUUAAUUGAGGGCUGGUAUGAAUGGUUGGAUAAGAUACAAGCUGUGUCAUAAAUAUUAAAAAUUGAAUUUCUCUUUUUAGUUAAAAGACUAAAAUUUUUUUAAAAGACGAGAAGACCCUAUAGAGUUUUAUAUAAUUAUUAUUUAAGUUAUUUAGAUUUAUUAAUUUUAGAUAUUAAGUUGUAUUUUGUUGGGGUGACAGUAAAAUUUAUAAAACUUUUAUUAUUUAUAACCAUUGAUUUAUGAUUAAAUGAUCUUAUUUUAUUGAUUGUAAAAUUAAAUUACCUUAGGGAUAACAGCGUAAUUUUUUUUGAGAGUUCUUAUCGAUAAAAAAGAUUGCGACCUCGAUGUUGGAUUAAGAGUAAUUUUGGGUGUAGAAGUUCAAAGUUUAAGUC
rnacentral:rRNA from 1 species